ensembl:lncRNA
GUGGGGGUGUGUAUGAGGUGGUGGUGUGUAUGAGGUGGUGGUGUGUAUGAGGUGGUGGUGUGUAUGGGGUGUUGUGUAUGAGGUAAUGGUGUGUAUGAGGUAAUGGUGUAUAUGAGGUGGUGGUGUGUCUGAGGUGGUGGUGUGUCUGAGGUAAUGGUGUACAUGAGGUGGGGGUGUAUAUGAGGUGGUGGUGUGUAUGAGGUGGGGGUGUGUAUGGGGUGUUGUGUAUGAGGUGGUGGUGUGUAUGAGGUGGGGGUGUGUAUGCGAUGGUGUGUAUGAGGUGGUGGUGUGUAUGGGAUGGUGUGUAUGAGGUGGUGGUGUGUAUGAAGUGGUGGUGUGUAUGAGGUAAUGGUGUGUAUGAGGUAAGGGUGUAUAUGAGGUGGGGGUGUCUAUGAGGUGGUGGUGUGUAUGAGGUGGGGGUGUGUAUGAGGUGGGGGUGUGUAUGAGGUGGUGGUGUGUAUGAGGUAAUGGUGUGUAUGAGGUAAUGGUGUGUAUGAGGUAAUGGUGUGUAUGAGGUGGUGGUGUGUAUGAGGUAAUGGUGUAUAUGAGGUGGGGGUGUGUAUGAGGUGGUGGUGUGUAUGAGGUAAUGGUGUGUAUGAGGUUGUUGUGUGUAUGAGGUGGUGGUGUGUAUGUGGUGGGGGUGUGUAUGAGGUGGGGGUGUGUAUGAGGUGGUGGUGUGUAUGAGGUGGUGGGGUGUAUGAAGUGGUGGUGUGUAUGAGGUAAUGGUGUGUAUGAGGUAAGGGUGUAUAUGAGGUGGGGGUGUGUAUGAGGUGGUGGUGUGUAUGAGGUAAUGGUGUGUAUGAGGUUGUUGUGUGUAUGAGGUGGUGGUGUGUAUGUGGUGGUGUGUAUGGGGUGGUGGUGUGUAUGAGAUGGUGGUGUGUAUGAGGUGGGGGCGUGUAUGAGGUGGGGGCGUGUAUGAGGUGGUGGUGUGUAUGAGGUGGUGUGAAUGGGGUGGUGGUGUGUAUGGGGUGGUGGUGUGUAUGAGGUAGUGUGUAUGAGGUGGGGGUG